UACGAGGGGGGCAAGCGUUGUUCGGAAUUAUUGGGCGUAAAGGGUGCGUAGGCGGUUUGGUAAGUCUUAUGUGAAAUCUACAGGCUCAACUUGUAGUCUGCAUGAGAAACUGCCGGGCUUGAGUAUGGGAGAGGUGAGUGGAAUUCCUGGUGUAGCGGUGAAAUGCGUAGAUAUCAGGAGGAACACCUGUGGCGAAAGCGGCUCACUGGACCAUAACUGACGAUGAUGCACGAAAGCUAGGGGAGCAAACCGG
rnacentral:rRNA from 1 species